CUUCCCUCUCCCUUACGCCCUCUGCGAGGGUCGGCGGGCGGACCUCGAGCUCCUCCUCGUCUCGGCGCGCGGUUCCUCCUCGCCGGCUCGUCGCUCCUCGUCCCCAACCCCGACCUCGAGCUUCUCCUACUCCUCGUCACGCCGGCCGCCCCGCACCCUUUGUCGACCUCGGCAGAUCGACCUCGCCGCCGAGCCCCCGACACCAACGGCGAGCUCUUCUCAUCCUCUCCCCCCUCAGAUGGAACCGACAAAGAACGGGAAGGGCAAGAAGAACACACAAGAGCAUAAGAAUGAAACAGAAGAGAAGCUGGUUGUGGACAUUGCGGACAAUGAUUAUAUAGAUGCAGUUGAAGAAACAAAAUCUAUUUCCACUGAUACCCUUGUGACUGAGAGUGAUUCUGAGAGUGACGAUUCCGAGAGUGACGCACCUCAACGAGCGCCAAGCAACAGAACCCGAGGAGGCAAUAGAACCCGAGGAGGAGGAGGAAGGCGAGGGGGCAACAGAACCCGGGGAGGAGGAGGACGAGGGGGUAACAGAAUCCGAGGAGGAAGAAGAGGGGGUAGGGGACGCACUAAUGGUUAGCAUCUUUAUCGUCAUUGCCAAAAUAUUAGUGCAAUUGGAAUGAUGUUGUAAUUGCCUUAGGUCUGGAACUCCAAACUUCUAACUUUAGUCCUUUCUUAGCCGUUCUUACCGUAGUUCGGGCUUCAACCGUAGCGGCCUCUAUGUUGUGUGAUCUCGAUACCAUGUUUGGUUUUGAGCUCCAGUAAUUUAGAGCUUGCAUACAUUUAAUUCAUUGCCUUCUGUCUA